rnacentral:lncRNA from 1 species
ACUUCCGAAUUUGCAGUUGCUAAAAUACAUAAUAAUUAACAUAUAAUUUUUUGUUAACAUUUACUUUUAAUUUUGUUGAUUGUAUUAUAUUAAAGGAAGUUUUAAAAGUAACAAAUAAUUAAAGUGAUUUAAUAUUAAAUAACACAUAUCUUUCAAAAAAUCUAAAGAAAUUAUACUUCAAAAUAGAAUUCAACAACGGCAAAACAUCAUUUAGCAUUACAAUAUUUCUUUCAAUUCGAUGUAAGUUUAAGUUUAUCAUUACAUAACAUUUAUUAAUAUAUAAAAAGAUAGUUUUCAAGAAUUGUACUUGAUUCAACAAUAAUUUUGUCAUUGCCAACGACAUCAAACUUCAUAUAAUGACUGAAAGUGUAGACAAUACACUUUGUUUUGAUUCUAUGGCCAUUAUGAAGAUCAAUGUAUUUAGAGAGAAACCCCAUCUUAAAGUCGGAUGUCGUCGGCCACUAAUCUACUAAUUUAUCCAAUAAUGUCAACCAUAGACGUGAUUUUUUACAUUACUACCAAAAGAAUAAACUUCAAAACCAUUGAUCUUAAAAGUAUAUAGAACUUUUUUUUAAAAAUGUGUAGAAACUAAACUAAAAAAAAAUAACUAUUAAUUUCGAAAGUGACAUUAGUAAGACAAAAGUUUGCUUUUCUAAUUGAUGUAUUAACGUUAAAUUAUGUUCAAAUUUUCAAAACAAGAGACAUUAAUGAAUAUAUUUCGAAAAAGGGCUUGUAAUUUAUAGUGAAUAUUACUAUAAAAUAAUUAAAAUUAGAAUAAAUUAUUAAAAUUGUUGUAAGAAUAUUUUAAUCUGAAUUAACUAAGUUUUAGUUUUGAUAUAUAUUAAUCUUUGAUUAUGUUCAAUUUAACUUCCGAUUUGCAGUUGCUAAAAUACACAAUAAUUAACAUAUUAUUUUUUGUUAACAUUGACUUUGAAUUUUGUUGAUUGUAUCAUAUUAAAGGAAGUUUUAAAAUUAACAAAUAAUUAAAGUGAUUUAAU